rnacentral:rRNA from 1 species
GACGAACGCUGGCGGCGUGCUUAACACAUGCAAGUCGAACGGUGAAAGCGGAGCUUGCUCCGCUGGAUCAGUGGCGAACGGGUGAGUAACACGUGGGCAACCUGCCCUUCACUUCGGGAUAACGCCGGGAAACCGGGGCUAAUACCGGAUAUGAACUCUGCGGGCAUCCGAGGAGGUGGAAAGUUUUUCGGUGAAGGAUGGGCCCGGGGCCUAUCAGCUGGUUGGUGAGGUAGUGGCUCACCAAGGCGACGACGGGUAGCGGGCCUGAGAGGGCGACCGGCCACACUGGGACUGAGACACGGCCCAGACUCCUACGGGAGGCAGCAGUGGGGAAUAUUGCGCAAUGGGCGAAAGCCUGACGCAGCAACGCCGCGUGCGGGAUGACGGCCUUCGGGUUGUAAACCUCUUUCAGCACCGACGAAGCGCAAGUGACGGUAGGUGCAGAAGAAGGACCGGCCAACUACGUGCCAGCAGCCGCGGUAA